GAGGGGUUCCCGCACCAUCAGCUUGUUGGCGGGGUAACGGCCCACCAAGGCCUACGGCUAGCUGGUCUGAAAAGAUGACCAGCCCCCCUGGGACUGACAUACUGCCCAAACUCCUACGGGAGGCUGCAAUCCAGGAUCAUUUGCAAUGGGCGAAAGCCUGACAAUGCCACGCUGCAUGGAGGAUGAAGGCCUUCAGGUUGUAAACUCCUGUCAUAGGGGAACAUGCCAUCCAACCCAAUACCUCGGUGAUUUGAGUGUACCCUAACAGGAAUAGGCGGCUAACUCUGUGCCAUCAGCCGCGGUAAUACAGAGGCCAACAUCGUUGUUCACAUUUACUGGGCGUAAAGGGCGCGUACGCGGUCUUGCACUGUCAAGAGUGAAAUCUCCGGGCCCAACCCGGAAAGUGCGCUUGAAACUACAGGACUUGAGUGUGGUGAGGGAAUGGAAUGCAGGGUGUAGCGGUGAAAUGCGUUGAUAUCAUGCAGAACACCGGAGGUGAAGGAGGAUUCCUUGAGCAGUCUCUGAGGCUGAGGCGCGAAAGUGGGGGGAGCGCACAGGAUUAGAUACCCUGGUAGUCUCGACAUUAAACGGUGCACACUCGGGGUGGGGCCAUUUCACCGGUCCUGUCCCUUAGCUAACGCGUUAAGUGUGCCGCGUGGGGAGUACGGCCGCAAGGCUAAAACUCGAAGAAAUUGACGGGGGCCCGCACAAGCAGAGGAGCAUGUGGCUUAAUUAGAUGCAACGCGAAGAACCUUCCCUGGAUUUGACAUCGUGGGCAAAGGCCUAUGUAAGUAGGUUGGAGGUUAUCCCAUAGACAGGUGGUGCAUGGCUGUCGUCAGUUAGUUCCGUGAGGUGUUUGGUUAAGUCCACCAAGGAACGCAACCCCUUUGAUGUGUUGCCAUCAGGUAAUGCUGGGAACUUGCAUCAUACUGCCUGUUUACGCAGGAGGAAGGUGGGGAGGAGGUCAAGUCUGUAUGGCCCCUACAUCCAGGGGGGCACACGUGUUACAAUGGCCGGUACAGAGGGACGCGAGACCUCAAGGGGGAGCCAAUCCCAGAGAGCCGGCCUCAGUUCAGAUUGGGGUUUGCAACCUGACCCCGUGAAGUCGGAUUUGCUAGUAACGGCGUAUCAGGUACGACGCCGUGAAUGCGUUCCCGGGCCUUGUACUCACCGCCGGUCA
rnacentral:rRNA from 1 species